AUGGGGGGGGGGGAAAAAAAACCCCAUCGACACAUCGAGACGCUCGAGCUGGUGCUUCGAAUUCAGCAACGAGCAGGAGGCAUCGGAGAAGGGCAGCGAUAUAUACGGCCUGCGCCCGGGGCCCCGAGCGAAGCAGCGCUGCAGSACGGGGAAGGCAGGGAGGGGACCGGGCAUCGUGGCCUGGGAUCAGCGGGUUGGUGGCACAGAGSGGGAGGAGGAGGAGGAGGAGGAGGGGACGGGAGACGAUACCAUAAUGUCAUCAUUAGAUGCCUGGAAAAUAAAAGGCAAUUUUCCGAAUUAAAAGCAAGGCCAAAAACCCUCCGGCCGUCGCGGCGCGCGGAGGGGAAGGGCCCCCGCACUCACUCGUCUCCUGGAUGUGGGUCUCGAAGCUCUGCGUUUCCCUCGGGUCGGCCCCGCUCGCCGGGGCGGGCGCUGCCGGCCCCACGCCGUUCUCCCGCGGGGCAUCGCCGGCCCCGGGCGCCUCGGCAUCGGCAUCGCUCCGCGGGGCCGGCGGCAGCGGCCCCGGCUCCUCGCUGCCCUCCGCCUGCAGGAGACAACGGGGUGGGGGGACGACGGGGACGGUCAGCAGCGGACGGGGACGGCGGGGAGCGGGACGGGGCCUCUCUUGCUUCCCCAGAAGCUGCAGGGACUUGGGAGAUGCCCCCACCUCCAGCAAGUCACGGAGGGCGGCUGAGCGAGAGCAGCCCCUCGCCCAGGACCUACCUGCAACCCCGCAGGCGCUGACGCCCCAGCCCGCACCACGCAAUGACAACGGUGCUGGCCAAGAGCUGCGAGAUGCCACCAGGACACGCCUGGCCCUCUAUCACUAGGUGAGACAUCAGAGCCAACAAAAAACAAGGGAUGAGAAUGCCACGGACAGACUUUGUACCAUGGAGAUGGGGUGAAGUCAGACUCGGUCCAAGCAAGUAACUUCAAYGAAACCCCCAGUUACCAGCAAACAGCAGCGGCGUGCUUGGCAUGGACCAAGCCCUGCAGCAACCCAGACGAGCCAGGCACAGUCCCGGCACGUCGCCCGUCCCUCCCCCCUCAUCCGCUACUGCCGUAGCUGCUUUCAGCCUUUCACACGCUGAGCUCAGACUUGCAGGGCCGAGUUUUACAUCAACAGUUCAAGAUAGGAGAGUCCUGACGCGGCCCCAGCAAGUAUCUGGCAGCCACCUCUUGCCUUGUUUUAACCGGGAUGAUUAAACACACACUAAACAUUCCUGGGAAUUGUGCCGCACGAUCGGCUCUUUAGGAUGGGGAUGAUGUCCUUCCGAUCCGUACAGCACCGGCUCUCCCCGGCUGAACUCCGGGCCCUUCCCACCACAGCAGCGCUCGCACAAAACAGCGCUGGGACAACCACAGCAGCCCGAAGUCUGCAGAAGGGGUUUCUUUCCUCACUUUUUCCCACUGCGGGCAAAGACUGACCCACAUUUUCCCAGUUCUGAUGCUGGAAGAGGGCGGUUUUCCCAGCUCCCAGUGCUACCAGCCAGUUCAGGAUUGCRAAUAAAAGCCCCAGCGCUAGCGACCGUCUAAACA
rnacentral:lncRNA from 1 species